rnacentral:rRNA from 1 species
AUUGAACGCUGGCGGCAGGCUUAACACAUGCAAGUCGAACGAGUGGCGGACGGGUGAGUAAUGCUUGGGAAUCUGGCUUAUGGAGGGGGAUAACUACGGGAAACUGUAGCUAAUACCGCGUACCAUAGGAUGAGCCCAAGUGGGAUUAGGUAGUUGGUGAGGUAAGGGCUCACCAAGCCGACGAUCUCUAGCUGGUCUGAGAGGAUGACCGGCAACACGGGGAGGGAGACACGCCCCAGACUCCUCCGGGAGGCAGCAGUGGGGAAUAUGGCGCAAUGGGGGCAACCUGAAGCAGCCAGGCCGCGUGAAUGAAGAAGGCCUUCGGGUUGUAAAGUUCUUUCGGUAGCGAGGCGUUAACUACAGAAGAAGCACCGGCUAACUCCGUGCCAGCAGCCGCGUAAUUC